UUAUAACUUUUAUCAUGGAGUCUGUAGUGUCUAUAUUCCUACUAACUCAGUUUUGCUUGGUGGCCCCGGUCAUUAUGCUUAAGUUGAUGAGUCUUGUUUUAGUCAUAAAAUAAAGUACCAUCGCGACUGUGCCCUGCGAAAUAUAGGUUCUUGGGAUUGUGGACAUGGCAACAAUGUCAGCUGUUGUGUAUAUGGAAGUUGUUUCUAACAGAAGUGCUGAAACUCUCCUUCCUAUUAUUUGACAUGAGAUCUGCCUAGGUUUGAUGGUGCACAGUGAUUCCCAAGCUGCCUACAACAAUAGUCAACAGGCACUGAAAUUGAGUAAUGAACAUGUCAGUCUCAGUGAUCCAAAUUUACAAUUCGUUUCUACAACUGUUACCCUCACACAACAUAUAGAGUCUUAGUGGAAUAAGUGUAAGGUUUGGAUCAUGACAAAAAGUAGUGUUCUUCGUGAUUUGCUUCCAACAUAUCGUGCAGAAUUCAUGUAGAGAGAUCAGUUUGGCAAAGACACUUUUAGCACUCUGCAUCUGAAUAUUGCAGAGCAGUUUCCUGUUUAGUAAAUACAAUUUUCUUUUUUUUUUAUUGUUUCAUUCAAUGCAUCUUUAGUUUUUAAAUAUGCAUUUUAAUUUAUUUCAACUAUGUAUAAGGGUCAUAUACUUCAUUUAUGUCAAGUGAAGUUUAUGACCUAGAUGAACAUUAU